CUACGGGAGGCUGCAGUGGGGAAUAUUGCACAAUGGGCGAAAGCCUGAUGCAGCAACGCCGCGUGGAGGAUGACACAUUUCGGUGCGUAAACUCCUUUUAUAUAAGAAGAUAAUGACGGUAUUAUAUGAAUAAGCACCGGCUAACUCCGUGCCAGCAGCCGCGGUAAUACGGGGGGUGCAAGCGUUACUCGGAAUCACUGGGCGUAAAGAGCAUGCAGGCUGGAUGACAAGUUGGAAGUGAAAUCCUAUGGCUUAACCAUAGAACUGCUUCCAAAACUGUCUUCCUAGAGUAUGGGAGAGGUAGAUGGAAUUUCUGGUGUAGGGGUAAAAUCCGUAGAGAUCAGAAGGAAUACCGAUUGCGAAGGCGAUCUACUGGAACAUUACUGACGCUCAGAUGCGAAAGCGUGGGGAGCAAGCAGGAUUAGAUACCCCAGUAGUC
rnacentral:rRNA from 1 species